rnacentral:lncRNA from 1 species
GUUAUUGUUUCUAGGUGAAUUGAUACGAUUUUUCUUAAGAUAUAUCGCAGACAAACGCACAAAAGCAAUAUCGGCCGACAUGUAAGAUUUUCGUUCGGAGCCACUUUAAGGGGCCAAGCGGGGUCGCCGAUAGGCUGCGUGUGACGUGGUUGCGUUUAUUGACCAUAACCCCUUCCUACUCCCGUCUGCAACUUCACGACGGACAGGUGUACGACCUGAGAGACCGCAAAACAAUUGACCAAAACCGGCCGCGUCUUAAAAUAUACGACAUUGUCUCCAAAGAAUCUACAAAGAUGUUUGGAAUGCUCGACCGUUUCUAUCGUCUCUGCGAAUGGCGAUACGAUACGACUCCUCUUUUUUCCAUCGAUUAACAAAAAUACAUCAUAAAUGUUUUCUUGAAAAAGGAAUAUAUUCGACUCACGACGACAAGGUGAGACUUAACGGUCAACUUGCCGGGAAGAUACGUUUUCAAUGAAGUUUUAUUGCAAAACGCUUUUUAAUUGUUACAUGAUAAUUGAGUAUAAUGAUACAGAUUAACUUAUGAGACAAUUGGCAUUAUUUCGAAUUCUAUCGUUUCUGUAUUUGCCAAUAUGAAUUUAGAUAAAUUAGCCGACGUGUUUUAUUUGUGAAGAGUUAGUUUGUUCAAUUUAAGCAAGUAAAUUUUUAUUUUUUAUAUCAGAAGCUGAAUGUACAAUUGAUGGAUUUUGUAUAGGGAAAUAUGUUUGAAGUUGUUUCAUUUUUGCUAUGGAGACAAUAGAGUCAACAGUUUCAAAAGUUGUACAUAGGUCUUGAAUACUCGAUCACAUGAAUUAUAAUCUGUAGCGGUGAUUAUAACAGGAUAUUAAUUCCAAUGUAUAUUUCAACAUAUGAAUAUUAUUUUCUUUUAUCGUUGAUCAUUAUCCCAGUGUAUCUGUUUUUUAAAUUAUGGUCAUGGCUAGGUUGGCAAUUAUUUAUAAAUAAUUAAUAUUAUGUGCAUUGUAUCUUUGGUUGAUUUCGUCUCUUUACUUUCUUUUUGUAAUACCUAGAUUUUCUUUACUGAAAAGUUAAAUAUAAAAAUUCUUCUAUGUUUAUAUAAAAACAUAAUGUUUGUACAUAAUAUUAUUAUAAACUGUUUUACAUAAGUUAAAUAUUAAAUUUUAUGUCAAGAAAGAUAAAAUUAAA